rnacentral:lncRNA from 1 species
AUAAAUAAAUUAAAUGACUGAAUACAAUUAUGUUUAUUAUUUUAUUUAUUUUUAGACCUUGCUGUAUUAUGUGGUUGCUUCUAUUAUUUUAUUAAAUUUUAACAUUGCUUAUACUCUAUUCCAAAAGAGAAUAUCUAGUACACCGAUCAUUUUUAGUAUAGUAACCUAACCUACCUUAAUCGGGUUAAUUCUAAUAGGAUUGUUGGCUUUGGCUAUGCUGUAAGUGGGUAAGGCAGAGUUUAGCACAGCUGUAGUCAUCAGUCAACAUGCCAAAAACAGGGUGUGCUCUUAUGAAAUGCUUUAAAAAAUAUAUAUCUGUGUAUAUCGACAUCCACAACAAUACUGUGAGUAACUCAAUUUUUACAAAUUUUCUGUAGUGUAGAAGCGUACUAAAGUUUGAAUAACUAUUUUUAUUCUAAUAUUUUUUUUUGAUUUUACUGGAACUUGGACAACUUAAUAUUUGUAUAAAACUAAAAUAUAGAUUUACAUAAAUUUUACUAUACUUGGCUAUCUGUGGUUUUUCCUAUGUUCUUAAUGGCUUAAUCUUUCUUGUAUGUAAGACGAAGACAACACAUAUGGAUGAUAUUCCCUUAAUUUAUAUUUAAAUGAUUUAUAGAAAAUAAAUAAUGAAAUACUAAACUUGGUGUAUUGUGUUUGAUAAUGAAAUUUAAUUUUAAUUGUUAAGAAUUCUAUUAUAUUGUAUUCUGAUGUUAUUUUAUGUUUUUUCUCUACAGAGUAUAAUUGUGAAAGAUGCCAAAGAAAAUACAGAAAUGUUGGUAGUUUGAAAAAACAUAUUUUAUACUACUGUGGUCAACAAUUUCCUUGUGAUAUAUGUACUGGUAUUUUCACUCGUAAAGCAACUCUACAACUUCAUAAAGCAGUAAAACAUGGAGUUUUAAUGGAAUAAAUUCUUUAUACUAAAAUACAGUGGUUAUCGUUUUAGUAAUCAUUGGUUUUGGACAAAAUGGAUAGCAUAAAGUAACUGAUAAUACAAUACAAAAAUUAAAUUAUGUGCAUAACCAGAGUAAUACAGCAUGUACUACGAUAACAAUAUACAAUUGUUAACUCUAACCGUGUUUAUAAUAAGCAGCGCCUACUGUAUUUAAUAUUCAUGUGUUGAAUUCAAAUAUUAUAUUUAGACAAAUUUUAAUCAAACUUAUUAGAAAAUAUAUAAAAUGUUGUUAGUUAUAUUUUUAUAGUUGGUAAAUUAAACAGGCACUUUAUAACUUUUAGUUAUAUUUAAUUGUUCCUAAGUUAAUAGUUGUAUUUAAAUUAUUCCUUAAGUAAAGAUUUUGUAGUGUUAAAACUGUUUUAAAAUAUGAGUGUCAAAUCCAUUGGUUUAUAUAGUACUUAAUACUUUUCUUAUUACUUUGUCUCUAUGGAUUUAUUAAAUGAAAAAUAUAUAAUAUUGUGAACUUUUUGUAUGACAUACUUUUUACAUGACUGUUAUUUUUAUGUCUAAAAAAUUGACAAAAUUUCAAUUUAUGGCUUUAUAUUUAUUUGAAUAAUUUUUUUAUAUAAAUGAAUGACACUUUGUUAAAAGGGACCUAAGUUACAUUUUUGAAAAAAAUAGUUUUGUUUUAUAUUAUUCAUCGUCUUAUGUAAACACAUAGUUUUGUGCUAAAAAGUACCUAUUUCAUAUCAUCUUGUCUGUGCAAAAUUAUUAUGAAAUAUUUCAUAGUUUGUUAAAAGGUACCCAUGUACUUAUUACGCAAAUAUAAAUAAAGGAAAACUGUUUUUUGUUACUCCUGAAAAGUAGUUGAAAAUGUACAUGGGUCCCUUUUAACAAAUUGCCAUUCAAAUAUUAAAUAAACAAAUGCUGUAAACUAAUUUUUUCUGUUUUUAUUAAUAGGUGAAAGUUUAAACCACAAGACAAGUCUCAAGUCUAAUUUUAAAAAUGGCCGUUACCAUUGUCCUAAUCAGUGUGGCAAGCAUUAUAAAGCAAUUAAUGGAUUGAGUCAACAUUUAAACAAUGAAUGCGGUGUGAUACCCAAAUUUGUGUGUUCUAUAUGUAUGAAAAGUUAUCAAUAUAAAAAUAGGCUUAAACUUCACAUGGCCAGUGUACAUACUAUAUUACUUGACAGUUGAUAUGAUGAAAGAACUUUAUGAUUACUCAGCUGGCUGAGUAUAGAUAUUAGUUCCCGCUUCCUAUGUCCAAAUUUAUGUGGUCGAAGUUACAAAUAUAAGCGUGGAGUAUACACUCAUGUGAAAUUUGAGUGUGGUGUGGAACCCAGUUUUUUAUGUUCAUUGUGUCCAAAGAAAUUUGCUAGGAAGUUCCAGCUAGAAAGUCAUUUGGUGUUGAAGCACAAAGUUGUUAAAA